UUGUGGGAAAACCCCAAGGAGUAAGAAGGUCUCGUCUCAAAAAUGCAUUCCAAGACCCUCCUCCCUUCCGCUUCUUUCAAACCCAACCUCUCCCCUCUAUGUACUCUCUCUUCCACUAUUCCAUCUUCAAUUCCCCAAACUUCCUCUACUAAUCAUCCUAAUACUGUAUUACCUGCUGCUUUCAAUCGCAAAGGGAUUUCGUUUCAUCACCCUCUUUCAUUGUUCCUCCGCAAUUGCAAGACAGGUAACAUUACUGCAACUCAAGCAUUUCAUUUCUUUGACCUAAUGUUGCGUUCAUAUCCUAUCCCCCCCAUUUCUUCUUUCAAUUGCUUACUUGGUGGCCUUGCUAAGAUUAACCAUUACUCCCAACUAUUUUCUCUCUAUAAUAAAAUGCGCCUUGCUGGACUUUCCCCUGAUCUCUUCACACUCAGUAUAUUGGCGAAUUGCCUUUGUAAUGUCAAUCGGGUUAGUGAAGCUCUUGCCGCCAUGGCGGGGAUUUUAAGGAGAGGUUAUAUUCCUAAUGUAGUCACAUAUAACACCUUGAUUAAGGGAUUGUGUAUGGAGCAUAGGAUUAGUGAAGCCACACGGUUCUUUCUGAGAAUGCAAAAGUUAGGUUGUACGCCCAAUGUGGUUACUUAUGGGACUUUGAUCAAGGGGCUAUGUCGAACCGGGAAUAUUAACAUGGCACUGAAGUUGUAUCAAGAAAUGCUCAACUACGCUAGUCAUUAUGGAAUUAAUUGUAAGCCUGAUGUUAUUACCUAUAGUAUCAUCAUAGAUGGGCUUUGUAAGGUUGGACGUGAUGACGAGGCAAAGGAACUUUUUGAGAAAAUGAAAGCUCAAGGAAUGAUUCCCAAUGUCAUUUCAUAUAGCUCCUUGAUUCAUGGAUUAUGUUGUGCUGGAAAGUGGGAGGAGUCUAAACGUUUGUUCGAUGAGAUGUGGGAUGAAGGUGUUCAACCAGAUAAGGUCACAUUUAAUGUGUUGAUUCAUACGCUUUCCAAGGAAGGAAAGGUUAGUGAGGCUAAGAAGUUGCUUGAGGUCAUGAUUCAAAGGGGUAUCGUUCCUGAUUUGGUUACUUAUAAUUCAGUGAUUCAUGCGUUUUGUAAGGUUGGUCAUUUGGAUAGUGCCAGAGAACUUUUUCUUAGUAUGCCAAGCAAAGGAUGUAAACAUGAUGAGAUCAGCUACAAUAUACUAAUUAACGGGUAUUGUAAAACUUCGAAGGUAGAAGAAGCAAUGAACCUUUACAAUGAAAUGCUUCAAGUGGGAAAGAGACCAAAUGCGACAACAUAUGGUACCUUGUUAACAGGACUUUUUCAAACAGGCAAGGUUGGUGAUGCAAAGAAGCUAUUUCGUGUCUUGAAAACUUAUGGUAUUUCGGCAGAUUCAUGUAUAUACCGUAUUUUCUUAGAUGGGCUGUGUAAGAAUGGCUGUUUAUAUGAAGCGAUGGAACAUUUUAAUCAGCUAAAAUCAUACAACAUCAAAUUGGACAUUGAAAGCUAUAAUUGUCUAAUUGAUGGCCUAUGUAAGGCAGGAAAACUUGAAACUGCUUGGGAGCUUUUUGAAAAACUAUACCAAGAAGGGCUUCAAUCAGAUGUUGUCACUUAUAACAUUAUGAUCCAUGGGUUUUGUAAAGUGGGACAAGUAGAUAAGGCAAAUAUUUUGUUUGAAAAGAUGGAAGAAAAUGGUUGUACUCCUGACAUAAUAACUUAUAAUACCCUUUUGUGUGGUUUUUGCCAGAGUAAUAAAUCAGACGAGGUGGUUAAACUUCUCCAUAAGAUGAUUCAAAGGGAUAUGUCACCAGAUGCUAUCAGUUGCAACAUAGUCAUUGACAUGCUCCGCAAAGAUGAAAAAUAUCAAGAAUGUCUAGACUUGCUUCCAAGAUUUCUAGUCCAAGAGCGUCGACGUUUAUAAUAGAAUAACACUCACUGAGGGAUUUCGUUUCAACACCGUCUUUCAUCGUUCCUACGCAAUUGCAAGACAGGCCAAAUGAUGUCUCCCCUUUUACUCUAGGCAAUAGAGGCCUAAUGGUAAAUGGAGUUUCUUGAUAGUUUAAGGUCAACGGGUAUGAAAAUUAGCUAAGGCAUAGUAAGACAGGACGUAAGGGAAAGAAACUCAUUGUGUACGUUUAAAAGUUAACUUGUAGCACAUCUCCACUUGAAUUCUUGAUGAUUAUUUUCAUAGUAUAAACUGGAUUAUAUACUCUAGACUUCCUAUCACCCGUUUGAAAAAGAAAUUGGAGAAAUACAAAUGAUGUUCAGAGAAAUAUAAAUUAUUUAAUGUUCACGUU